rnacentral:rRNA from 1 species
GACGAACGCUGGCGGCGUGCUUAACACAUGCGAGUCGAACGGAAAGGCCCCUUCGGGGGUACUCGAGUGGCGAACAGGUGAGUAACACGUGAGUAACCUGCCCUUGACUUCGGGAUAACUUCAGGAAACUGGGGCUAAUACCGGAUAGGAAUCCUUGCUGCAUGGUGGGGGUUGGAAAGCUUCGGCGGCUUUGGAUGGACUCGCGGCUUAUCAGCUUGUUGGUGGGGUAGUGGCUUACCAAGGCUUUGACGGGUAGCCGGCCUGAGAGGGCGACCGGCCACAUUGGGACUGAGAUACGGCCCAGACUCCUACGGGAGGCAGCAGUGGGGAAUAUUGCACAAUGGGCGGAAGCCUGAUGCAGCAACGCCGCGUGCGGGAUGACGGCCUUCGGGUUGUAAACCGCUUUCAGCAGGGGCGAAGCUUGUGGUGACGGUACCUGCAGAAGAAGCACCGGCUAACUACGUG